GCUGGGCAUGGUGGCUCAUGCCCGUAAUCCCAGCACUUUGGGAGGCCGAGGCGGGCGGAUCACCUGAGGUCAGGAGUUCAAGACCAGCCUGACCAACAUGGAGAAACCCCGUCUCUA
rnacentral:SRP_RNA from 2 species